AUUGAACGCUGGCGGCAUGCCUUACACAUGCAAGUCGAACGGCAGCAUGAUCUAGCUUGCUAGAUUGAUGGCGAGUGGCGAACGGGUGAGUAAUACAUCGGAACGUGCCCUGUAGUGGGGGAUAACUAGUCGAAAGAUUAGCUAAUACCGCAUACGACCUGAGGGUGAAAGUGGGGGACCGCAAGGCCUCAUGCUAUAGGAGCGGCCGAUGUCUGAUUAGCUAGUUGGUGAGGUAAAGGCUCACCAAGGCGACGAUCAGUAGCUGGUCUGAGAGGAAGAUCGGCCCACCUGGGGCUGAGACCCGGCCCAGACUCCUACGGGAGGCAGCAGUGGGGAAUUUUGGACAAUGGGGGCAACCCUGAUCCAGCAAUGCCGCGUGUGUGAAGAAGGCCUUCGGGUUGUAAAGCACUUUUGUCCGGAAAGAAAUCGCACUUACUAAUAUUAGGUGUGGAUGACGGUACCGGAAGAAUAAGGACCGGCUAACUACGUGCCAGCAGCCGCCGUAAGAC
rnacentral:rRNA from 1 species